CGCAUUUUCCAUACGCCUCUUCCUAUUGCGAAUACGUUCCCUAUCUUAAAUUCUAAGAGAAUUGAACUAAGUUUCCGGUAAUCGAUCCGCACAAGCACAAAAUCAGUCUCUGCCUCGCAAUGGAGGAAGCUCAGCGGUGGAUCGUAACGUACACGAAUCACGUUAAGCAGAAGCGGAAAGUCUAUCACGACGGCCUUCUAGUUGUUCAAUCAUCUCGAAAUAAGCCAUGAUAUGCAUUAGUGCCAUCGCUGUUUGGUUCAAAUAUGAAAUGCCAUCAUGAUCAGUUCAUGAUGUAUGAUGAAUGGGACAAGCUCUUGGAGACUAGGUUUGUGAAGAAAGGUGAUCUCAUCACAUCUGGUGAAACUAUCACAUUUGGUUCUUACCUUGCUGACCUUGGUGAGCUAUGUCAAGGCCAUCAACAUACAUCUAUUUUGAAAUCUCAAGAUCAGGGUGGGAAAUUUACAGAAACACCCAGUUCAUGUUACUACAACUCCCAAAAUAGGAAGCCUCUGGUUGGGAAAAGAAAAGGGCGAGUCAUUAACAUAAGCCCUUCACAGAAAAUGAUCAGAGAUUUCAAGAAAAGUGAAAUGAAUAAGUUUGGUUCCUCACCAAAUUGUAUGGAUAUGACAACACUCAGCACAAAAGAAUGGCAGGUCUUGAACACGUCACAAAUAACACAAAAGGCAAAGAAAUAUCAUGAUGGCUUUCUACAGCUUAUAAUUCGUGGAUCACAAGGAAGACAGGUUAAGCUCUACGAUACAAACAGGAGACACUUAGAUGGCAGGUUUCUGAAAAAGGAUGAAAAAAUUUGCUCUGGUGAAUCACUAAUUUUGGAUGGUCAUUUAGUAGAUAUUGGAGAGCAGGAAGAAGAUCACACGCAACCAACUGACUUAAACAUUCACGUAAAUAGCUGGAAAAAGUAAUUUCGUGGAUUGCCAUACCAAAAUCCCGACUAUUAAAACUUUUCCUGCUGGAAAAACACCAGGUGGCACCUCUCAAGGGAAACUUACUAAAUUAAGUGAUCCAAGCUACAAGUCAGAAAACAUCAAAUUAUAUGUGGGAGAUGCAGAGCCUAAACGUUCUGUCUGCGAUAUAUUGUCCAUUCUCAGACAACCAAGUGAGGGGAAGACUGUCUCUGUGAAUAAGCCUUUUACCGAGGAAUGUGCUGUGUCACAUCCUUCAAAGUUUCUGUCUGGUACCAAUAAUCAUAUAAAAGAGGAAGAAUGCAGUGGAACUGCAAGACAGGAAUUGAGACAAAAAGGGUCAGAGCAUGAUAUCGUGAUUAAGGUUAUAAAAUCUGAACCUACUGAAGUCGAGAUAAAAACUGAAAAGAGUGAAAUUCCUGAAAAUGGAAGAGUACCUCCAGCUAGAUCUUCUAGCUUUCAUCUCAGGUAUAAAUUUGCAUUCAUGCUGUUGUAUUUGUGUAUCAGGCAAAAAGAGGAAUUGUCUUAAUCAUGCCACAUUUUGGUUUGGUUGAACAAGAUGCCUCUGGUUUCUGUAGCAUCUGCAACUGGAGCACAACUUCUCUAGGAACUGAUACUAGUUUUAAGAUGUUUAUGUAGACAAGUCUCUUCAAUGAAAGAGUCAAGAGUGGUUCUUUAGUUCUGUCAUUGAGAGAUUACACUAGUUCCUUACUAAAAGUAAAUUGACUUUCUAAGGUGAAGUGCUCUGGUAUCAAAAUUAGCAUUGAUAUAAACAUGAAAUAAUUCUGGCAAUGCUUCCUGUCUGUUAAGCUAAUACUGAAUCUCUGAUGGCUGAAAACACCCAAGAUUCUUUUGCUCGGAUGAUGCAAACUUGUUUCCUCUUGACUGUGGCAUACCUGUCUUAUAGUAUUUAAUUAACCGAGUUACACUGUACUAACGAAGCUUUUUUUUUAAUUACAGACCACAAACAGUGAACUUUACAUCUCCUGUCUAUGAUGCACGUUCUUCAUCUAUGAAGUCUUCAUGAAGAAGCCGCUGCUGCAGUGAAUGCUGAUUGCCAAAAGGAAGUCAUAGAUCUCACCAGAACAUGCAAUAAUCAAGAAGAAGAAAACAUAUUCCCAUGUGAAGAGGUUGUAGUUGGAUCAAAUGCUGCACUAAACAUUGGUUUGAGCUUCAGGAAAUCAGCCGAGAAACACAAGAAGGGAAGCAGUUCUAGAUUCAAUAAUGAUCUCAGAGAGGCAAGUCUCAAGACAAAGGAUAUGGAUGAGAUCCCGAGUUUUGAUCUUGGAUUUUGAGAGGAACCUUGACAGAAUAGUGUGCCACAG